rnacentral:rRNA from 1 species
GACGAACGCUGGCGGCGUGCUUAACACAUGCAAGUCGAACGGAAAGGCCCUGCUCUUGUGGGGUGCUCGAGUGGCGAACGGGGGAGUAAAACGUGAGUAACCUGCCCUUGACUUUGGGAUAACUUCAGGGAACUGGGGCGAAUACCCGAUAGGAGCUCCUGCUGCAUGGUGGGGGUUGGAAAGUUUCGGCGGUUGGGGAUGGACUCGCGGCUUAUCAGCUUGGUGGUGGGGUAGUGGCUUACCAAGGCUUUGACGGGUAGCCGGCCUGAGAGGUUGACCGGCCACAUUGGGCCUGCGAUACGCCCCAGACUCCUACGGGACGCAGCAGUGGGGAGUAUUGCACAAUGGGCGGAAGCCUGAUACAGCAACGCCGCGUGCGGAAUGACGGCCUUCGGGUUGUAAACCGCUUUCGCCUGUGACGAGGCGUGAGUGACGGUACUGAGUAAAGAAGCCCCGGCUAACUACGUG